rnacentral:rRNA from 1 species
GACGAACGCUGGCGGCGUGCCUAAUACAUGCAAGUUGAGCGCUGAAGGUUGGUACUUGUACCAACUGGAUGAGCAGCGAACGGGUGAGUAACGCGUGGGGAAUCUGCCUUUGAGCGGGGGACAACAUUUGGAAACGAAUGCUAAUACCGCAUAAAAAUUUUAAACACAAGUUUUAAGUUUGAAAGAUGCAAUUGCAUCACUCAAAGAUGAUCCCGCGUUGUAUUAGCUAGUUGGUGAGGUAAAGGCUCACCAAGGCGAUGAUACAUAGCCGACCUGAGAGGGUGAUCGGCCACAUUGGGACUGAGACACGGCCCAAACUCCUACGGGAGGCAGCAGUAGGGAAUCUUCGGCAAUGGACGAAAGUCUGACCGAGCAACGCCGCGUGAGUGAAGAAGGUUUUCGGAUCGUAAAACUCUGUUGGUAGAGAAGAACGUUGGUGAGAGUGGAAAGCUCAUCAAGUGACGGUAACUACCCAGAAAGGGACGGCUAACUACGUG